rnacentral:rRNA from 1 species
UGGGGAAUAUUGCACAAUGGGCGCAAGCCUGAUGCAGCCAUGCCGCGUGUAUGAAGAAGGCCUUCGGGUUGUAAAGUACUUUCAGCGGGGAGGAAGGGAGUAAAGUUAAUACCUUUGCUCAUUGACGUUACCCGCAGAAGAAGCACCGGCUAACUCCGUGCCAGCAGCCGCGGUAAUACGGAGGGUGCAAGCGUUAAUCGGAAUUACUGGGCGUAAAGCGCACGCAGGCGGUUUGUUAAGUCAGAUGUGAAAUCCCCGGGCUCAACCUGGGAACUGCAUCUGAUACUGGCAAGCUUGAGUCUCGUAGAGGGGGGUAGAAUUCCAGGUGUAGCGAUGAAAUGCGUAGAGAUCUGGAGGAAUACCGGUGGCGAAGGCGGCCCCCUGGACGAAGACUGACGCUCAGGUGCGAAUGCGUGGGGAGCAAACAGG